rnacentral:rRNA from 1 species
GACGAACGCUGGCGGCGUGCUUAACACAUGCAAGUCGAGCGGAAAGGCUCCAGCUUGCUGGCGUACUCGAGUGGCGAACGGGUGAGUAACACGUGGGUAAUCUGCCCUGCACUCUGGGAUAAGCCUGGGAAACUGGGUCUAAUACUGGAUAUGACCUUUCUCCUUAUGGGGUUUGGUGGAAAGUUUUUCGGUGUAGGAUGAGCCCGCGGCCUAUCAGCUUGUUGGUGGGGUGAUGGCCUACCAAGGCGACGACGGGUAGCCGGCCUGAGAGGGUGAUCGGCCACAUUGGGACUGAGAUACGGCCCAGACUCCUACGGGAGGCAGCAGUGGGGAAUAUUGCACAAUGGGCGGAAGCCUGAUGCAGCGACGCCGCGUGAGGGAUGACGGCCUUCGGGUUGUAAACCUCUUUCAGCAGGGACGAAGCGUAAGUGACGGUACCUGCAGAAGAAGCACCGGCUAACUACGUG